UACAGAGGGUGCAAGCGUUGUUCGGAAUUAUUGGGCGUAAAGCGCGUGUAGGCGGCUUUGCAAGCCGGGUGUGAAAGCCCUCAGCUCAACUGAGGAAGUGCGCCCGAAACUGCAGAGCUUGAGUGCCGGAGAGGGUGGCGGAAUUCCCCAAGUAGAGGUGAAAUUCGUAGAUAUGGGGAGGAACACCGGUGGCGAAGGCGGCCACCUGGACGGUAACUGACGCUGAGGCGCGAAAGCUAGGGGAGCAAACGGG
rnacentral:rRNA from 1 species